GACGAACGCUGGCGGCGUGCUUAACACAUGCAAGUCGAACGGAAAGGCCCUGCUCUUGUGGGGUGCUCGAGUGCCGAACGGGUGAGUAAAACGUGAGUAACCUGCCCCUGUCUUUCGGAUAACUUUACGAAACUGGGGCUAAUACCGGAUAGGAGCUCUUGCUGCAUGGUGGGGGUUGGAAAGUUUCGGUGGUUGGGGAUGGACUCGCGGCUUAUCAGCUUGUUGGUGGGGUAGUGGCUGAACAAGGGUUUGACGGGUAGCCGGCCUGGGAGGGUUACCGGCCACAUUGGGACUGAGAUACGGCCCAGACUCCUACGGGAGGCAGCAGUGGAGAAUAUUGCACAAUGAGCGGAAGUCUGAUGCAGCAGCGCCGCGUGCGGAAUGACGGCCUUCGGGGUGUAAACCGCUUUCGCCUGUGACGAAGCGUGAGUGACGGUAAUGGGUAAAGAAGCACCGGCUAACUACGUG
rnacentral:rRNA from 1 species